GGGGCGGGGCCCGGGCCGCAUUGUCUCGUCUAGGGCCGGCUGGACGCCCCAGAGGCCGGACCUGGGCAACCCCAGCCUGGAGGUGCCGGGGCCGGAGCUCCCAGAGGGCUGGGUGCGAGGCCUAGGCGGGGUCAGGUUCGGGUUCCUAGGCCAUAGCGGAGCUGCAGCCCAGGCGGCCGGAGCGGAACCCAGCCCCGCUCCGAGUGCCACGUCUCCAGGAACCCCCUCCUUACUCUUGGACAACACUCCGCCCCCGCCCGGGCCUCCGUCCCCCAAACCGCCCUCAUUUGUGCAGCGCCAGAUCCUUCGGACACAUCCCUAGGUGUCUCCAUCCUCAUUCGGUCCAUCCAACUCCCAGACCUCACGUCAACCGGCUGCACCCCACUUUCCAGCCUGCGCCCCAGAUCUGCAGCCUUCGCCCCUAGAUACACCCGCCUGGUGAUGAGGCGCUCCUCGCGUUCCUUCCGGGCUCCAGGUGUCCGUGAGCCUCCCUUCCGCCCUGGCCUCCGGUCUCUGCCUUGCUCGUGCUUCUACCACCACCCUUCCCCUCCCAACCCGGUGGAUCCUCUCGUCUCCCCCAGUCUCCAGUGCACCGGCUUUCCCUCGUCCUCUGCGCAGUCCAUCUCAGCUCAUCUCUCCAAUUCAAUGCCAUCAUCUCUCCUCACCAUCUCUCGGUGCCCUGGAAUGUUUGCUGUCAGAUGUCCCCUGUGAAACCCACAAACGCUUGCGAUUUGGCCUCCUUGUUUUAUUUUGUGUAGUCCUACAACGUCUUGUUACUACCCCCUAUUACAACACUUAUAACUCAGUAUUUGUCUUUUUUCCGCGGUGUCCCUGCACUCUCCCCAUACAUAUUCCUCUCCUGCCAGAUUGUAAGCCUCUAGAGGGAAGAAGUAAUGUCUCUCUCCUUGGCACCAGGCACGUGGCACACGCUCCACAAAUAUUUGUUGAAAGGGAGGGUAAAUGGCCUUGAGUUUCUGUGGCUACCAUUGGCUGAGGAUGGAGCUUUGGGCUGGACAAAGAAGAAUCUGGUUGACCACAUGAAGCAGGAAGGAGGCUCAGAACGGUGUUGAGGGAGCCUCCACAAUGGGUGGGCACCACAGUUGGGCAACUUGAGAAGCCCUGGACUCCCAAGGAGCAAUCCUGUGAGCUGCUUAGAGAAGCUGUGAGGAUUAGAGGGAAACUCAUGUUCCCUGUUCAUCCCGCAGUGGCACCACCAGCACCCCUAAUUUGGGUCUCUGGGCUGAGGGGCCCCUGGCAGCAUGCUCAAUGGCCUUGGAUAGCUGGAAUGUUUGGAAUUGCCUGCAUCUUGGAUGAAAGUCUUAACAAUAGAAUGAAAACUGCUGCAACACUGUGUCAGCACUUUACAGACCACCACUGUAAAUUCCCAGUUGAAACUGGGAAUUUGGAAUUCCAUGUUCAACCAAAUCAUGCUGAGUGCCCAGCACAGCGUCUGACACACUAAAUGCUACAGGUGAAUUCCCUUUUUCCUCUUUCCUGGCAGGAAGCGGGGAUAGGGGAACCACUAGAAAUACUGUAAUAACAUGAAUAAGACAAGGCCAUUAGCCGGGAGCAAAUCAUAGAACAUCAGCCCUGUGAAAUGAGUGGUAUUAGUGUUACCAUUUUUCAGAUGGAGAAAUUGAGACUCAGAAAGGUUAAUUAGCCAAAAAUCACACAGACAGUAAUAGCAGAGCUAGGAAAAGAAUGUUCAUCCUAGUACCUAACUUUGAUCUUCCCAAAACACCAAACUGACUUCUAAAGCUGAAGAAAGAGGACACAGAAGCUUCAUCUCAGAUCUCACCACCAGCUGCCCCUUAAUCUGCCAACAUCGAACCAUUCUCUCCCCUCUAGACUACAGUGGCUUCAAACUUUGACUUAUCUCCAGUAUUUUUUUGUACAUAGCAAUAGCAACAAAAGUUUCACAAAACAAUAUUACCUUUGUAUGGCCAGGCACGGUGGCUCAUGCCUGUAAUCCCAACAUUUUGGGAGGCCAAGGCGGGCAGAUCAUGAGGUCAGGAGAUCAAGACCAUCCUGGCCAACAUGGUGAAACCCC
rnacentral:lncRNA from 1 species